CAGUCGCCGCGGGAACACGAAGGGGGCUAGCGUUGUUCGGAAUUACUGGGCGUAAAGCGCACGUAGGCGGAUCGAUCAGUCAGGGGUGAAAUCCCAGGGCUCAACCCUGGAACUGCCUUUGAUACUGUCGAUCUGGAGUAUGGAAGAGGUGAGUGGAAUUCCGAGUGUAGAGGUGAAAUUCGUAGAUAUUCGGAGGAACACCAGUGGCGAAGGCGGCUCACUGGUCCAUUACUGACGCUGAGGUGCGAAAGCGUGGGGAGCAAACAGGAUUAGAUACCCCUGUAGUCCCUGUCUUUUAUAA
rnacentral:rRNA from 1 species